rnacentral:rRNA from 1 species
UACAUGGGGUGCAAACGUGCUCGGAAUUAUUGGGCGUAAAGCGCGCGUAGGCGGUUACUUAAGUCGGAUGUGAAAGCCCUCGGCUUAACCUGGGAACUGCAUUCGAGACUGCAUUGCUAGAGUAUGGGAGAGGGAAGUGGAAUUUCCGGUGUAGCGGUGAAAUGCGUAGAUAUCGGAAGGAACAUCAGUGGCGAAAAGCGACUUCCUGGACCAAUACUGACGCCUCUGUAGCGAACGGGUGGGACAAACAGGG